rnacentral:ncRNA from 2 species
GACGAACCGUACGAACGUUAUUCGGAAUCACUGGGCUUAAAGAGUUCGUAGGCGGCCGUGCAGGUGAGAUGUGAAAUCCCUCGUCUCAACCGAGGAAUUGCGUUUCAAACCGCAUGGCUUGAGGAAGAUAGGGGUGAGCGGAACUGAUGGUGGAGCGGUGAAAUGCGUUGAUAUCAUCAGGAACACCAGAGGCGAAGGCGGCUCACUGGGUCUUUUCUGACGCUGAGGAACGAAAGCUAGGGGAGCAAACGGG